rnacentral:rRNA from 1 species
AACGAACGCUGGCGGCAGGCUUAACACAUGCAAGUCGAGCGCCCCGCAAGGGGAGCGGCAGACGGGUGAGUAACGCGUGGGAAUCUACCCAUCUCUACGGAAUAACGCAUGGAAACGUGUGCUAAUACCGUAUACGUCCUUCGGGAGAAAGACUUAUCGGAGAUGGAUGAGCCCGCGUUGGACUAGCUAGUUGGUGGGGUAAAGGCCUACCAAGGCGACGAUCCAUAGCUGGUCUGAGAGGAUGAUCAGCCACACUGGGACUGAGACACGGCCCAGACUCCCACGGGAGGCAGCAGUGGGGAAUAUUGGACAAUGGGCGCAAGCCUGAUCCAGCCAUGCCGCGUGAGUGAUGAAGGCCCUAGGGUUGUAAAGCUCUUUCACCGGUGAAGAUAAUGACGGUAACCGGAGAAGAAGCCCCGGCUAACUUCGUGCCAGCCGCCGCCGUAAGAC